rnacentral:rRNA from 1 species
GAUGAACGCUGGCGGCGUGCCUAAUACAUGCAAGUCGAGCGAAUGGAUUAAGAGCUUGCUCUUAUGAAGUUAGCGGCGGACGGGUGAGUAACACGUGAGUAACCUGCCCAUAAGACUGGGAUAACUCCGGGAAACCGGGGCUAAUACCGGAUAACAUUUUGAACCGCAUGGUUCGAAAUUGAAAGGCGGCUUCGGCUGUCACUUAUGGAUGGACCCGGGUCGCAUUAGCUAGUUGGGUAGGUAACGGCUCACCAAGGCAACGAUGCGUAGCCGACCUGAGAGGGUGAUCGGCCACACUGGGACUGAGACACGGCCCAGACUCCUACGGGAGGCAGCAGUAGGGAAUCUUCCGCAAUGGACGAAAGUCUGACGGAGCAACGCCGCGUGAGUGAUGAAGGCUUUCGGGUCGUAAAACUCUGUUGUUAGGGAAGAACAGGUGCUAGUUGAAUAAGCUGGCACCUUGACGGUACCUAACCAGAAAGCCACGGCUAACUACGUGCCAGCAGCCGCAGUAA